AUACGAAGGUGGCGAGCGUUGUUCGGAAUCACUGGGCAUAAAGCGCACGCAGGCGGCCUGAUAAGUUGGAUGUGAAAUCCCUCGGCCCAACCGAGGAACUGCGUCCGAAACUGUCAGGCUUGAGAUUGGGAGAGGUGCACGGAAUUCCGGGUGGAGCGGUGAAAUGCGUUGAUAUCCGGAGGAACACCGGCGGCGAAAGCGGUGCACUGGUCCAAUACUGACGCUGAGGUGCGAAAGCUAGGGUAGCAAACGGGAUUAGAAACCCCUGUAGUCC
rnacentral:rRNA from 1 species